GUCACAGCCGGGAUCGCUCUAAAUGCUUUCAGCAGACGCUUUCCAGAAAGCCAGUCCAGCUAAUCAAAGGUUACACCCUGUACUGGUCCCUCAGGGAAUCAGGUUACACCCUGCACGGGUCCCUCAGGGAGUCAGGUUACACUCUGUACGGGUCCCUCAGGGGAUCAGGUUACACUCUGUACGGGUCCCUCAGGGAGUCAGUACAGGUCAACACAGACGACCACAGCUUUUUGAGAAUGAGGUCAGUAUAGCCUCCUGGCACCAGCAAGUCACACUGGGAAAGGAGGC